CAGAAGACUGUAUACAAAGAUAUUUCAAGCUACUCUUUGCUCAAACUCAGAAAGAUCUACAUAUGAUAUAAGUAAUGGCAGUAAUUUCAGGACUCUAUGCCAGAGCAUGGAGAGUUUGUUUGUACAUGCUGCUUCAGAGUAGCGCCCUGUGAGUAGAAAGGCCACAUCUGCACUGCACAGUUUUGAAUUUCAUGAGCUAUAAUAUAUAGCAGCACAGGAUUUGGCCAUGGUAUGACAGAAAAGCAAAAGAAAUAAGGAAGAGCAAGAGAGAACAUCUGUCUCUCAAGAAAUACAAGAAAACAAAUGAGUGAUACAAGAGCAGAAAAUUUCCUGGCAUGCCUGACCAAACGAAUCACUCAUAAGUCACUUUCUUUCUUCCCUAAAGCACUCUGUCACGAAUAAAGAAC